CGAGCGUCAUUUCAACCCUCAAGCCCUGCUUGGUCAUGGACCAUACCCUCUUGGGGGUCGGUCUCAAACUCAUUGGCGGUGCCCAAUGGACCCCGAGCGUAGUAAUUAUAUCCUCGCUUCUGGUGUCCAUGGCGGCCCUUGCCAAACAACAAAUUUUACUGGUUGACCUCGGAUCAGGUAGGGAUACCCGCUGAACUUAA
rnacentral:misc_RNA from 1 species